AGUUUUUGUUGUUACUGAAUUAGUCCGAGGUGGUAGCCUUGAAAGCCUUUUGAAGAGCAAGGAUGACGGAAGUAACGAAUAUGCAAAUGUCUGCUGUAAACUGAGCGACCGACAGCUGUUGAACAUUGCACUGCAGGUGGCCUUGGGAAUGCAGCAUUUAGAAGAGCGGAAGUGCAUUCACCGCGACCUUGCAGCGAGAAAUGUCUUUAUUGAUUCAAGCAAGGUGGCAAAAGUUGGAGACUUUGGAUUAGCAAGGAACAUCUCAGACGAUGGAUUAUACAUCAAAACUUCAUGUGUUAAAAUUCCAUGGAGAUGGUCGUCUUUGGAAUCUCUUCGAGAUCGAGUUUAUACAUCCAAGAGCGAUGUGUAAGUAAACAAAAAGAAACAUACGUUGUCUGACGUGGAAGGGGUAGCCUUGUCCACCAUCAAUAUGUUUGGUCAAGAUUGAGGCACGUAAGGC